rnacentral:lncRNA from 1 species
UCCGAUACUUGUUCUUCCACAAGAGGGGACAGAAAGUAGGUAAACCGAGAACAGAUUGCAAGGUGGACAGAGGACACGCACUAUGAACUGUUCACACGCAGGUAAAUCUGUUCUGACGAUUCGCGAACUCAGCUAUCAAGGUGACCAUCUACACUUACAACAAGACAACAGGUGGGCUGUAUGGUGAGCAGUCGAACUGUAACAGUAAUCUUACAGUCGACACUCUGGUUAUACUCCUCUGGCUGACUGCACCAAAAAUUAUCUCUUCCGUCUCUCUCUCCCCCACUAGCUCUCCCCCCAAAGAUAUUCUCCCGCUGUGUGUGUGCGCGAGCGCUGAUUGUGUGUGUGUGUGCUCGUCUGUACGGAAGUGCCUGUGUGUACAUGUUCUCUAUCGUGCUGGUAUCGGCACAUUCAAGCGAAAAUAAUAGCUGGAUAUUUUUGUAUGGCAGCCUAAAGCCAUGUCGCUUACAGUUAGCAAGAAGUUAAUAACAUUAUUCACGGCUCUGCGCACACAAGCAGCCAGUCAUGUUGAGCUGUUUGUAGGCCAACGGUGGGGAAGCUAAUCAGUAAAGGUUAUAGAUGAGGUCACAGUGCUAGUCAAUAGACGGUAUUGUCUCCAGACACACCCCCUGUCUAACAAACAGUUCCUCGCAGACUAAAGAGACUUGCACUCACUUGUCCCCUAGGGGAGGUACCCUCACACACCAAGCGUGACAUUCUGGUUGUUGUUCACACCACGCUGUCCUGAGUUUGUGGAGCCUGGAGAGGAAAUUAUUUCAGGCGUAUUCACACCAAAGGCUUCCUACAUCGUCUGGUCUACAAGUAACAUCGUGACAGUCACAAACUCAUCAUCAGUCGCAUCCUCAUCCACCUCAAUGCUAACAACAACUGACAGUGUGAGGACACCAUGGAUGUGCGUGUGACAAACAGCUAAAAAUAGAAGAAAGGGUGACAAACGGAUGAGGAACAUGUGCGAAAGGCGGUUAAUGAAGCCACAUCAAUUAUUCGGCCCGCACCCACCUGCUUGUCUAGUGCGCCCUGACUUUCUAGACCGCACGUUCAUCACGCAUGGGAUGGAUGAUGGGAAGGGAGAGCAGCAACAGAAAAAAGUCUGUGCUUGGCUGGAAACUGUAAAUUUUUAUGUCUGGAAGGCAUCCUCACAUGCAGAUUAGAAAAGCGAUGAAAAAACCCACGGGUAUAUAUUUGAGCUUAUUCUGGACGCUGAUGUUGAUGUGUCGACAACGAUGACAAGUUCUUGACGACAGUUGAAGUGAGAGAGCCAGGUGUUCCUGCUGCUGUCACAGAAAGUGCUGCCAUACAGGGUUUCUCGUACUUGCCCCUCGCCCACCGAGUUCCAGUCCCAGUAGUCUCCACAGGCAAAAAGCAAACACUGAGUGUUCAAGGGUCAAGGUGCACUCUGUCUAUCCCACACCCUCUCAGUGAGGUCAGGAACGCGGAGGUGUGGCAUUCCAGUGUCUCUACUGUAGCACUCGAUCUGUAAUGAGGGCGCCACCCUAGGUUUUCAGUGGGUACUUUAUUAACCUGUCAUUGAGCAGCGAACACACUCGUUGUCAGGCUGUUGUGGUGUCGUAGAUUACCUGCACUGAGACAGUCUCGACAUGUUCCCAUUCAGCGACACUCCCGCACAACAGUUUGACACCCAAGCCAUGGACUAGUGGAACAAGAUCCUUGUAAUUAAUAUUAUAAUUGCUGCUGGAGGGAGCACUCAGUCGUCUGAGAGUCAUGAGAGGAUACAAACUCAGGUUGGAGAUCACACGACGAGCGCACCUGUCCAACACAGAUGCCAGCAAACUUCACACACCUGGAUACAUACUGAGACACUGAGUUCAGGUUUUCUGAAUGCCCACACAAAGAAACGAAUGAUCUGAUGUGAGGUUCCCACAUUCUAGAACAUACCAAAUAGAUUGACAAGUAAACCCCCAGAAAGAGGCCAGCACCAGAAUAACCAACAGUUAGCAAGAAAAUCAAGGUAUUGGAAAGAUUUGAUGGCGGAGUUACUGCGGCGAGGGUGAAGGGCCUCGGGUGCAUGACGAAACAGGAUGGGGAGCCCCGCCCCCAGAGCGUGACGUCGGAUUAUCGCAGCGACAGGCGUGACGUAUGCCUCGUGCGGGCUGAUAAUACAUCGCUGACGUCACGAUGGAUGACGUCACCACCGCGCGAGGCGUUUCACCAGCGACGACUCUCGACGCCAGCAUCAAGCGGCAAUCAUCAUCGCAUCCUGAGAGAACCCACGACACGAGCGCUGAGACAGUCGUCUGCACGAAGAUGAAGGUGGAGGAGAACCCUGACGACAGCAGCCACUUGUGCGCUUUUCUUCUCUCCAAGGACGUACAGAUUUUGGUCACGUGCUCGGAUACCGUCGCUCCCAUCGCGCAAAGGAAAGACAACCCGCAUGCUUUGUGCACCAACUUCAUUUCCAGCGGUUUUGGACCUUGGUGCCAGAACCUGGAGGUCAAGAUGUCAAGGCGGUGCACGAGUCUCGCGUUGCAGGCGACAAACGCCGUGGCUAAGGAAAAAACGUGCUUGGGGUCAGGGGUCACGUGGAGACGCGGGGCGGGGACCAACGCGAGGAACACUAAGACGAAGAGUGGCUUCAACCUCCAACAGCUUCCAUGUAAAGACAAGGGUUCAAAAGCUGAUGGCGUGUUUGACCGUCGACCGAGCUCCACCCCUUGUUCCUACGUGUUCCGACACCACGACGACAUCAGCGACUACAUCAGCGACUACCGGCUACAUCACACACUACAAAGGACUUCCACCAGGGACAGAUACACUUCUGUCUCUAGUUGUGUCCCUUCAAUCUCUCGCCUUCUUAAGGAGAAAAAGCUUUGCAGAUUCACCAGUUCAUGUAGCAGUGCGGGCACAGCAAGCACCUCAACCCGGAGUGACAGUAUAGAGAAAAAACGAGGUCUGUUCCUAACCUCGCCCCGGUGAGGGAGAAGACAACCGAGGCCUGACCAGAAGGGGAGGCCAAAGGCUAACAAGGCUGGUGGACCAUCGACUGACCAGCCAUCAAAAAGCAUGGUUCAGUGUUUGAACAACAACGGCCCUCCAAUGGAAGACGACAACGGACGCCAGCCGAGAGGAACAUCACUAACCAGUCAGCAGUCGUCAGGCACAAAGACUAAUGCCUGGCCACCAAGUGCACGUCCUGGCCUACCUCAGUCUUCCCUAGUCUCCAUAAACUUGUUACAACCAAGCCCCGUCGGACGGCGGUCGAGCCGGUCGUAAAGCCUGCAAGUUCAGGGGCAAGCAAUCCAAGCCGAGAAGUGAUGCCUGUGACAAGCUGAAGCAGGACUCUAAGAAGAGGUCACUGAAUGAAAACAUCCACCAUCCACAGAGAGAGGAGACAUCAGACGACGGUGAUGAGGAGGGGCGCAUGCAGAAUGGAAGCAAUACUAUCGCUCUGGCAACAACGGACAAAAAUAAUUCUCGAUGCACGGAGGGUCCUGGGAAGGGAGAGGCUGACCAUCCUUACUUAGGUCAUAGUUCUUUUCCCGAGGUCACCAAGCAUCAGCGAUUGAGCUUGAUGCAGAUACUUCAGGGCGAUGGUGCGAGGGUGGUCCAGAGUGUCACGAAGGGUAGACCGUGCAACAGGGGGGUCGCAUCAUGUCUGGAGCCCUGCACUGACUCGUUCUGUUCACGAAAGCUGGCCUCGGUUGCAGGUGACUGACCCCUCAAAAGUAAAGAACACACCCGAAAAUAUUGCCAGCCAGCUCCACGACUGGCUGCGUCUUGGUCAAUGCGUGAGUUUUCCUGAGCUACGAUUGUCCAAAGCCCCAGAUCACGGCGUCACUUCCGGUGAGGUUUCUGACAUGACCAGGAGACAUAAACGCAAUCGUGCAGGUGUGUGUGAGGAGGGACUGUGGGGAGGGAGGGACUGGGUGGCCCACACUCAAGCAGACGUGGCCAAUGAGGUGACCGUCAGCGAAGAAUCCCGAAACAAAGCAACAUCAGACGGCGACAGAGGGGCCCACGGUCCUUUGAGCGUCAGUACAAGCGACCACAAGCAUACAACACAGAAAGCAGGUGUCGACAGAGGCGGAAAAUGGAGGCAGAGGGACAGAAGCAACGCCAAGGGACGAACCUUCGACCAUCUGCGAGCCAUGGGCAGAGCGGCAUCGUCGCAGAACACACCGUUAAGCGUGGUUGCGCGAUCCCUCGGUGUAGGUCAGGCGCGCAACAGGGAGCAACGCACGACUGGCAGUGUCCACCUCGACUUCCGGGUGUCCAAAGAAGCUGUGCAGAAGACGGUGGCAGAGGUGACCACGUGACUAAAGCACGUGCGGCUUGCGGGUGCGGAAUCGAGCAGCUUGACUGGUGACUGCGCGUUGAGGCUGCUCUACCACAGCGGGCAGAACAAGAAUUUUCACUGCGUUUGAUUUUUUAAAAUGAUUCUGUAAUUGUUCAUUGGUCUACGCAUUUUUUAAAUAAUUUUUUCCUCCAAAGCGCGCGCGUGUGUGUGUGCUAGCUCGACGUAUAUGCAUAAGAUAUCGUUAGGGUCAGGGUCUUAAUGUAGGUUUUUAUUUUGAACAGACUGAGCAGAAAAACAAUCGAGCUCAAGGUUUGUUGAGCUGGCAACUGCGGUCUGUUAUUCACGCAUGCGUAGAACAGGUCAGUAACAGAAGUAAUAUUAAAAAAAAAGUCAGGGCUCUUAUCUCAGGUGGAUUUUCUCAGACGCGAAUAUUUUCGUUGCUGCUUCAUUUAUUUUCCACAGUCACGAAUCAACAAAAGUCAGUAUAUGAGCAAAUGAGUUUCAAGUAGUCACGUACGUUUACAAGCCGCAGGUUUUAUUUUUAAACUGAUGUAAAAAAACAAACAAAAAACAAAAAACUUGUCACUCAGUUCAUUAAACGCAGUUCAUUGACGGUA